AUUUGGUUGUAUUUGAAUGACUCUGCAGUAAGUGUAUAUAAUAUAAUAUAAUAUAAUAUUGCGUUGUUUAUCUUGUGUAACGUAAACUUAUAAUGAAAAUUGAAUCUGUUUUCACUCCUUUUUUUCCUGUUUACCCAUCAUUUGAUUUAUUAUUUUCUAACUUAUAAUUUAUAAUAAUUUAUAACGCCCGCUCAUAAACAAUAAAAACUUUAAACAGACCGUAAACAUUUCUUAUGAACUUUUGACUUAAGUUGUAUGACAAGUAACGAAUCAAUAGUUUAUAAUGGUUUUCUAAUGAUUUAUUUUCGAAUCAAAUUAAAUUGUGUAUGCACGUCCACAACAAUGACAAAAACAAGUCGACCAAAAGUUUGUAGUUUAGUACUUGUCUUAUAUUUGUUUCACUAAUCUCAGACCAAGAUAUUAAGACAGUAUUAUCUUAUUAUAAAAUAUGUAUAUAUUUUUGUGUUGUU